rnacentral:lncRNA from 1 species
UCAGACUAAGUGUCCGAUCCACAUAGAGGUCAUCAUACUUCCUUUUGAAUUUUGGAUGCUCCUUAUGUUGUAGGACAAAAACUAUAUCUCCUGUCACUGUAUCCGGCUGCCAAAGAAAAAAGCAGGCAUUGAAUACAGAAGCAUCAAUGUAAUGUUUAUGUUAGGAACAACUUGGAUAUUCAGAUAUUAGUCAACACAACUCCCCACAAGCACAAAUGCAACAGUGCCAAGAAGGAUAAUCCGAAUGUAAUACCAGAGACACUGUAAUGCAUUUUUAUUUUACAUUGCCUGGCAAAAAACAUACAUGUAGAUGGGAGAACGCACACAAGCAUGGAAUUUUUUAAGGAAACAACCUAAAUCGACAAGAAGUUCAAAGCUAAACAAAGUAAAUUACUAGAGGCACAUGAUUUUUUUCUUACAGCUUCAUCAGCUUCUCCUGCAAAUACAAUCUUCUGACCAUGUUGCAUUCCCUUCUCAACAUGAACCUCCAAGACCUUCUUUUCCUGCAUAACUUUGUUCCCUUUACAAUGUGGGCAUUUGUCCUUAUCGCUGAUGACCUCACCUAAAAAUUAUUUACAAUUUACUCAGAACAAAAACAAAUGCUUAUGGUAGAGCAUAUUUGUCCAUGGGUAUGUAUAUGUAAUUAUGUACAUGUAUAGGUAUAUGUAUAUAUAUAUACAUAUAUAUACAUAUAUAUACACAUAUAUAUACACAUAUAUACAUAUAUAUACACAUAUAUAUAUAUAUAUAUACACAUAUAUAUACAUAUAUAUACACAUAUAUAUACAUAUAUAUACACAUAUAUAUAUAUAUAUAGAUGAGAGAGAAAAUUCUAUAGCACCUGAGCCUCUGCAUUCAGGGCAAACGUGCUGCAUCUGCUGGAUCAUGCCUAGUCCAAUUUGUCUAGUUACAGUCCUCAUUCCUGUACCUUGACAUCCAUAACAUCUCCCUGAAGCUCCACUCUUUGAACCUUUUCUGAAAUAAUCAACAAGCUUACAGAUGAACUAAACAAAAGACAAAAAUAGAUUCAUGGAAAACAUAAAACAAAGUGCAUCUCAUUCUUCUAGGUAAUAUAAU